AUUGAACGCUGGCGGCAUGCCUUACACAUGCAAGUCGAACGGCAGCGGACCUUCGGGUGCCGGCGAGUGGCGAACGGGUGAGUAAUAUAUCGGAACGUACCUUUCAGUGGGGGAUAACGUAGCGAAAGUUACGCUAAUACCGCAUAUUCUGUGAGCAGGAAAGCAGGGGAUCGCAAGACCUUGCGCUGAUUGAGCGGCCGAUAUCAGAUUAGCUAGUUGGUGAGGUAAAGGCUCACCAAGGCGACGAUCCGUAGCGGGUCUGAGAGGAUGAUCCGCCACACUGGAACUGAGACACGGUCCAGACUCCUACGGGAGGCAGCAGUGGGGAAUUUUGGACAAUGGCGCAAGCCUGAUCCAGCCAUGCCGCGUGAGUGAAGAAGGCCU
rnacentral:rRNA from 1 species